rnacentral:rRNA from 1 species
AGUGAACGCUGGCGGUAGGCCUAACACAUGCAAGUCGAACGGCAGCACAGUAAUAGCUUGCUCUUACGGGUGGCGAGUGGCGGACGGGUGAGGAAUACAUCGGAAUCUACUUUUUCGUGGGGGAUAACGUAGGGAAACUUACGCUAAUACCGCAUACGACCUACGGGUGAAAGCAGGGGAUCUUCGGACCUUGCGCGAUUGAAUGAGCCGAUGUCGGAUUAGCUAGUUGGCGGGGUAAAGGCCCACCAAGGCGACGAUCCGUAGCUGGUCUGAGAGGAUGAUCAGGCACACUGGAACUGAGACACGGUCCAGACUCCUACGGGAGGCAGCAGUGGGGAAUAUUGGACAAUGGGCGCAAGCCUGAUCCAGCCAUACAGCGUGGGUGAAGAAGGCCUGCGGGUUGUAAAGCCCUUUUGUUGGGAAAGAAAAGCAGCAGGUUAAUACCCCGCUGUUCUGACGGUACCCAAAGAAUAAGCACCGGCUAACUUCGUG